UACGUAGGGUGCAAGCGUUUGUCCGGAAUUAUUGGGCGUAAAGGGCUCGUAGGCGGUUUGUCGCGUCGGGAGUGAAAACACUGGGCUUAACUCAGUGCUUGCUUUCGAUACGGGCAGACUAGAGGUAUGCAGGGGAGAACGGAAUUCCUGGUGUAGCGGUGAAAUGCGCAGAUAUCAGGAGGAACACCGGUGGCGAAGGCGGUUCUCUGGGCAUUACCUGACGCUGAGGAGCGAAAGUGUGGGGAGCGAACAGG
rnacentral:rRNA from 1 species